CUUCAUUGUUGAGGGUUAGCUUGAUUCCACUGUGAUCAGAUAGAAUACAUGGGAUAAAGUCAAUACUCAUGUUUUUGCUGAGGCUCUUUGUAUGGACUAUGAUAUAAUCUAUUUUGGAUUAUGUUCCAUGGGCUGCUGAGAAGAAUGUGUAUUGGUUCUCUGUAGAGUGAAAUACUCUGUACAGAUCUAUCAUAUCCAUGUGGGAUAUGGUGUUCCUUAGAUCUGCGGCUCCCUUGCUAAUCCUCUGUGUGUUGGAUCUGCCCCCUGGAGAGAGUAGAGUACUAAAGUCUCCCACUAUUAUUGUAUUUGGGUCUAUUUUGUUCUGUAGUUCUGAAAGAAUUUGUUUGACAUAUUUAGGACCUCUUUUGUUCAGUGAGUAUAUGUUUAUCACUGUGAUAUCAUCUCCCUGGAUUUUUCCCUGUAUUAAUGUGUAGUGACCAUCUUUGUCUUUUUGAAUUGAUUUUAAUGAGAGGUUUAGCUUGUCUGAAAUCAGGAUGGCUACCCCUGCCAUUUUGGUAGGUGUGUUUGCUUGGAAGAUCUUACUCCAUCCUUUCAU